ACAUUUGUCUCUGUAUGCGUGCAAGUCUGUCAGAGAAAAGCUAGAAAUAACUUUUACUUUUUAAUGCUCUGUUUCUCUCUCAUCUCUUAAAAAUCUCUGAUUGUAUGUUUUGUUUUUCUGAAAAAUCGUGCACCCUUUUCUUCUUUCUCCCUCUGAGUCUCACUCACAAUCAAACACCCACUCGAGCUUCAAAUAUUCAUGCUUGGUUUUUGUUUUUCAGUAUUUUGGGAUUAUUUUUAAUUUUUUUUGGGUGAAGAUUCUUGUUUUGAGGUUUUCUUGAAGCUUAGUUAUGGUGAAAAUGGUGUUCUAUUUCUGCACAAACAAAUAUAUAUAAAAUUUAUAUAUGAUACAUAUAUACAAGUAUCUGUAUAUAUGGCUCAUGCUCAAAGUAAAAGUAAUAAUGACUACUCAUAUGCUACUGUUGCUGCUACUAGUGAUGAUCAACAGAAGCUGACAGCAACUUUUCAUGAUUUUCUUGGCGCAAAAGGUCAAAAUCCUUUUCCGCCAGCCGGAGAAGGUGGCCAGCCAUCGUCCGAAGUGUCCCCAUCAGCUUCUGCCUCCCUUGGUGCCUCUUCUUGUGGUGGCCGUGGGCCCAUGUCGACCACUUCUGAUCUGUACUCCGAAAAACAUGUUGGCAGUCAUUUGGAGGGGAUCCCAUUUUAUCAGUCAAGAGGUGAGUUUAAAGGACUUGAGACAAGUAAUAGAUUCAUAGGAACCAAACGAAGUAACUCUGAUUCUUUUAUGGUGUCAUCAAAAGAGAAAUUUCCACAAUUGCAACCAGACGAGAGCUCACAUUUAAUGAAGCUACUACGACAUGCAGGGGGAGACCGACCUAGGUGGCCACAUGAUGAGGAAACGUCCUUUGUUAUGCAUCAGAUGAGACCAAUUUCGGCCUCUCUUAUAACUCAAUCUUCUAGUGACGGUGACUCCAAAUGGGAUCGACCUAUUCCAGUGAAUCUUGGGUCCUCAUCACAAUAUCCUCCACGUGCUGGUCAAGUUGCGCCAUUUGGGUACCAGACGCUAUCAAAUAGGUUUAAAGAUACGAAUCCUGGUCCUGCUGCCAUAUCUCGAACAGCUGCUGAUGAAGGAUCUAGGACUGGAAUUAAAGGAUCUGGAAUUUUGAGUUCUAUCAAUGCAACUAUAGGAGUUUCUGAGAGACUCUCUUCGGGAGUGCUUAUACAUACUGAUAAACAAAAGUCUGGUGCUUACAUUGCAGAGCCAGAAUCUGCUACACCCAGUCAACACAGAAUAGAAUCGGCCAGUUUUCAAAUGACUAUAUUUUAUGGUGGUCAAGCUCACGUUUUUGACAAAGUUCACCCCAAUAAGAAGUGGAGGUUGGAUGUCAUUAUCAAGUAAGCCUUUUCGGGUUUAUGUAUCAAGGAGUGUGUGUUUCUACUGUUGGAUCUUGGACAGGAAGUGUACUGAAGAUAUGGAGGAGCAUGUCUACAAAAGCCUCUCAUAAUGGUUGCUGGAAGCCAAGGGAACCUUUUGAUUCUGGGGCAUAGGGUUGUUACGAGCAAGCAUAGUUUGUAACAAAUAGUCAAGAUCUAAAAAUGUUUGGUGAGUCAUUCCCUUAGAAGCAUUUGAAAGCUCAUAUUUACUGGGAUUUUCUUCUUUUAUCCUGUUUACAAAAUGGAAUGUAGGUGCCGGAGAUAGUUGUUUUAGUAGUAAGAUUGGAAUAGUUUUUGCUCCCUUGAGUCGUUAUUUUGAUGAUUAUGCAAUUUUUUCUUUUCUUAAAAAUGCCCUAUAAAUUUUGUUGGUUUACCCUCUGAAAAUGGAAAAACAAGUUGGAGUUUUCAAUUGCAUUGCAACUCGAGAAUUUUAAAUUUUUAAAAUUACCAUUGAGAAUGUUUGUUUUAAACCUUCUUGAAGUGCCAAAAGGUUGUGGAUGUUGAAUUACUCAAACCUUUUUCUUGCAAGUCAUUCUUCUCUGCUCUUGUUGAUUUGCCACUCCACCUCAUCUUUGUCAUGAUCAAGUCCAUUUUGUUAAGGUUUUUCUUGUGACUGGUCUUUCAUGGGAAAAUUAUUACUUGUGAAUUGGUUCAAAAGAAAGCCUAUUUCUCUCUUUGUAGUCGUGAUGUGUAAUACCUAAAAAAAGGCUUGGAAGGGUAUUGAUCAUUUGUUUUUACGUUGUGAUGAUGGCUAUGGUGUCAAUUUUUUCAUGUAGUUGGUUUUCCACUCUAAUGCUCGGACCCUUCGAAACAGUUGGAGAACUUUUGUCGGACACG